rnacentral:rRNA from 1 species
UACGUAGGGUGCGAGCGUUGUCCGGAAUUAUUGGGCGUAAAGAGCUUGUAGGCGGUUUGUCGCGUCUGCCGUGAAAGCCCAGGGCUUAACCCUGGGUCUGCGGUGGGUACGGGCAGACUGGAGUUCGGCAGGGGAGACUGGAAUUCCUGGUGUAGCGGUGAAAUGCGCAGAUAUCAGGAGGAACACCGGUGGCGAAGGCGGGUCUCUGGGCCGAUACUGACGCUGAGGAGCGAAAGCGUGGGGAGCGAACAGG